GCUGGGCGGGGUGGCACAUGCCUGUAAUCCCAGCAGCUGGGGAGGCUGAGGCAGUAGGAUCCCAAGUUCAAAGCCAGCCUCAACAAUGGCAAGACACUUAAACAACUGUGAGACCCUGUCUCUA
rnacentral:sRNA from 1 species